CCAUCUCUAUAUCUCUCUCCCCAUCUCUCUAUCCCUCUCUCUCUCUCUCUCUGUUACACACACACUUUGUUAUUUCUCAAUGCUCAAAGGUCUCCUCCUUCCAAUAACAAAGAGGAUGUGACUCUGAUGUUAUAGAUUCUUUCCCAUGGUCACUUUGCAUUGUGGGGAGGAAGGUCUUCUUUUGAGAAACAGGUGCCAUGGUCACUUUGCAUUGUGGGGAGGAAGGUCUUCUUUUGAGAAACAGAUGCCAUGGUCACUUUGCAGAAGUUACGGAAACUGCAUGGUGUUUCUCUCUCUCUCUCUCACCAUCCCAUUUGCAUUUCCUUCUGUUGUUCUGUGUUAUAGACAGACAGCUCAAGCUUUUCCUUGUCUUUUCUUUGGUCGCGUAUUUAAACCCUCAGAGACGUUGGUCAGAGAGGGGAAGAAUCACUUCAACAUGUUGAAUUUAAAUUCAUUUCAAUCACAUGAACUCCUUCCUGAUCUUUCAUCAUGGUCUUUUGUUCUACUCGACAUUGUUCAUGAGUUAUUUCCAUAGAGAAUGGUGUCCCUCUGUGCUGGUCCUCUCCUCUCUCCUUUAAUCAUUUAAAACCCCUCCUGGCCCUCUCCACACCCCCUG